UACAGAGGGGGCAAGCGUUGUUCGGAAUUACUGGGCGUAAAGGGCGCGUAGGCGGCCCGCUAAGUCGAACGUGAAAUCCCCGAGCUCAACUCGGGAACUGCGUCCGAUACUGGUGGGCUUGAAUCCGGGAGAGGGAUGCGGAAUUCCAGGUGUAGCGGUGAAAUGCGUAGAUAUCUGGAGGAACACCGGUGGCGAAGGCGGCAUCCUGGACCGACACUGACGCUGAGGAGCGAAAGCCAGGGGAGCAAACGGG
rnacentral:rRNA from 1 species